rnacentral:misc_RNA from 1 species
AACUUUUGACAACGGAUCACUUGGCUCUCGCAUCGAUGAAGAACGCAGCGAAAUGCGAUAAGUAAUGUGUAUUGCAGAAUUCAGUGAAUCAUCGUAUCUUUGAACGCACCUUGCGCUCCUUGGUAUUCCGAGGAGCAUGCCUGUUUGAGUGUCAUUAAUAUAUCAACCCUCUCUUGUUGAGUGGUUUGGAUGUGGGGGUUUGCUGGCCUCUUGAAAGAGGUUAUAGCUCUCCUGAAAUGCAUUAGCGGAACAACCCUGUUCAUUGGUGUGAUAACUAUCUACGCUAUUGAAUGUGAAGGGCAAGUUUGGCUUUCUAACAGUCCUUGGACAAAGCUCAUCAUUAAUGUGACCUCAAAUCAGGUAGGACUACCCGCUGAACUUAAGCAUAUCAAUGAGCGGAGGCU